GACGAACGCUGGCGGCGUGCUUAACACAUGCAAGUCGAACGGAAAGGCCCUGCUUGCAGGGUGCUCGAGUGGCGAACGGGUGAGUAACACAUGGGUGAUCUGCCCCUUACUUUGGGAUAAGCCUGGGAAACUGGGUCUAAUACUGGAUAGGACCAUGCUGUAGGUGGUGUGGUGGAAAGAUUAGUUUCGUUAAGGGAUGAGCUCGCGGCCUAUCAGCUUGUUGGUGGGGUGAUGGCCUACCAAGGCGUCGACGGGUAGCCGGCCUGAGAGGGUGGACGGCCACAUGGGGACUGAGAGACGGACCAGACGCCUACGGGAGGCAGCAGUGGGGAAUAGUGCACAAUGGGCGCAAGCCUGAUGCAGCGACGCCGCGGGGGGGAUGACGGCCUUCGGGUUGUAAACUCCUUGCAGCCAUGACGAAGCCCUUGUGGUGACGGUAGUGGUAGAAGAAGCACCGGCUAACUACGUG
rnacentral:rRNA from 1 species